GAUUCAGAAUCCAUGGCUGGAAGAGGUAAUAAGGCUAUUGGGAGGGCCUGCUUCUCCUCAGCCCACCCCCACCCGGUGUGGGUCUCCAUUUCCAUUCAGG
rnacentral:lncRNA from 1 species